GACGUAGGAUGCAAGCGUUGUCCGGAUUUAUUGGGCGUAAAGAGUUCGUAGGUGGUUCACUAAGUCUGAUGUUAAAGAUCAGGGCCCAACCCUGGGAGUGCAUUGGAUACUGGUGGACUGGAGUGCAGUAGAGGCAAGCGGAAUUCCCAGUGUAGCGGUGAAAUGCGUAGAUAUUGGGAAGAACACCGGUGGCGCAAGCGGCUUGCUGGGCUGUAACUGACGCUGAGGAACGAAAGCUAGGGGAGCGAAUGGG
rnacentral:rRNA from 1 species